AUCUAUUAUCAAUAUUUGUUUGCUAUUAAUCAGUUAUCUAUUAAUGCCUACUGUAGAAGUCCCAUAGGGUCAUACUAUUUGCUUUUUUUUCCCCACCACUCUCUUAUGUUCCUCCCAUUUGAACCCAGGAAUACCCUGCUCUUGCCUGAAUCAUGUUUCCUGCUUGGAUAUGAUGUAUUUUCUCAGGGAUUUUUUUAAGCAGUCUUUGCCGUAGGUCUUUCCAGGGUUGAGCCAUCACCUUUGUGGUUGAUCCCUCCCGCCUCUCUCAUGGACUCUUCACUACCAGACGUAGCAACAGAAAUCCCGACAUAGAUUUAGAUCCCUAAUGAGCAAGCCGGAGGUGACAGCGACAAGGAAAAACUCCCUGAGAUGAUAUGAGGAAGAAACCUUGAGAGAAACCAGCCUCAAAAGGGAACCUCAUCUUGUUCUGGGUUUCCUGACUCUAUAUGGCCAAAAGAUUGUGGAAACCUGACCA
ensembl:lncRNA